UCCCCGGUGGUCCAGUGGUUAAGACUCUGCACUUCCAGUGCAGAGGCCACGGGUUCAAUUCCUGGUUGGGGAA